rnacentral:rRNA from 1 species
GACGAACGCUGGCGGCGUGCCUAAUACAUGCAAGUUGAGCGAUGAAGAUUGGUGCUUGCACCAAUUUGAAGAGCAGCGAACGGGUGAGUAACGCGUGGGGAAUCUGCCUUUGAGCGGGGGACAACAUUUGGAAACGAAUGCUAAUACCGCAUAACAACUUUAAACAUAAGUUUUAAGUUUGAAAGAUGCAAUUGCAUCACUCAAAGAUGAUCCCGCGUUGUAUUAGCUAGUUGGUGAGGUAAGGGCUCACCAAGGCGAUGAUACAUAGCCGACCUGAGAGGGUGAUCGGCCACAUUGGGACUGAGACACGGCCCAAACUCCUACGGGAGGCAGCAGUAGGGAAUCUUCGGCAAUGGACGAAAGUCUGACCGAGCAACGCCGCGUGAGUGAAGAAGGUUGUCGGAUCGUAAAACUCUGUUGGUAGAGAAGAACGUUGGUGAGAGUGGAAAGCUCAUCAAGUGACGGUAACUACCCAGAAAGGGACGGCUAACUACGUG